rnacentral:rRNA from 1 species
CCUACGGGAGGCAGCAGUGGGGGAUAUUGGACAAUGGGGGGAACCCUGAUCCAGCGACGCCGCGUGGGCGAAGAAGUAUCUCGGUAUGUAAAGCUCUAUCAGCAGGGAAGAAGAAAUGACGGUACCUGAGUAAGAAGCACCGGCUAACUACGUGCCAGCAGCCGCGGUAAUACGUAGGGGGCAAGCGUUAUCCGGAAUUACUGGGUGUAAAGGGAGCGUAGGCGGUGAGGUAAGUCUGGAGUGAAAGGCGGGGGCCCAACCCCCGGACUGCACUGGAAACUAUGUGACUGGAGUGCAGGAGAGGUGGGCGGAAUUCCUAGUGUAGCGGUGAAAUGCGUAGAUAUUAGGAGGAACACCAGUGGCGAAGGCGGCUUACUGGACUGUAACUGACGUUGAGGCUCGAAAGCGUGGGGAGCAAACAGGAUUAGAUACCCGAGUAGUC